AACUUUCGGCAAUGGAUCUCUUGGCUCUCUCAUCGAUGAAGAUCGCAGCGAAAUGCGAUAAGUAAUGUGAAUUGCAGAAUUCAGUGAAUCAUCGAAUCUUUGAACGCACCUUGCGCCCCGUGGCUUUCCACGGGGCACGCCCGUUCGAGUGUCACGUUAACCCUCGCCAACGACGUAGCGAUACGCCGGGAAGCGGAUUUGGACGUUGCCGGUCGUGAGAUCGGCUCGUCUCGAAAUGCAUUAGCGAAGUGCGAAGCACGUGCGACGUUGAUAAUCGUCUACGCCUCGCGGACUUUGUUCCUCGCUUCCAAUCGUCGCGAGACAAUUUACUCAAAGUUUGACCUCGAAUCGGGUGGGACUACCCGCUGAACUUAAGCAUAUCAAUAAGCGGAGGCU
rnacentral:misc_RNA from 1 species